rnacentral:rRNA from 1 species
UACGUAGGGUGCAAGCGUUAAUCGGAAUUACUGGGCGUAAAGCGUGCGCAGGCGGCUUUGCAAGACAGAUGUGAAAUCCCCGGGCUCAACCUGGGAACUGCAUUUGUGACUGCAUGGCUGGAGUGCGGCAGAGGGGGAUGGAAUUCCGCGUGUAGCAGUGAAAUGCGUAGAUAUGCGGAGGAACACCGCUGGCGAAGGCAAUCCCCUGGGCCUGCACUGACGCUCAUGCACGAAAGCGUGGGGAGCAAACAGG